ensembl:antisense Gm44020 predicted gene, 44020
AUUCAUUUGGGAUCUGAACUCCUGUCCUUACUCUUUCACAGGAAGCGCUUAGACCACUCUGCUACUUUCUGGACCAGAUGCUGGUACUUGGCCAUCCUUCUAAAAAAGUAAAAGUUAAGACUGUUUAUUCUGGAAUGGAUAGAGCAGUGUUAUCCAUGACACUACCGUUGUCUAGUUUCUGAACAGGGGUGAGUAUAAUUUACUGGGAAAAAAAAGUAUUGAUUGUACUUUGUACAAACCUCCAAAAUACUAAACUGCAUUAAAGAAAGCUGAUACAGAAGAUCAAGUCCCUUCUCAUUCAGUUUCUGUGAAGCAUCUAGAAAAAGCAAAUUCCCAAAGACAAGCAGAUGCUGGUUACCGGAAGUAAGAGCGAUUGCUCAUAUUGAGCUAGUUCUGUUGGUGGUGGAGUGUUCAGAGUCUGGAUUGUAGAAGAGUUCUCAGAGCUCUAUGGAUCCAUUAACAACAUUACCUUGUAUAUUUAAGAUGAAUGGAUACUUUAUUAGUCUCAUUUUGUGUGGGAGUGUUGUGUACUAGGACCUGUUCACCAGUUAGCUUCCAUUGUAAAAUUAGAGGAAUAUUUUCAUGUAAAAAUUCAGACAGCCUGGGCUAAAACUAGAUUAUUAAAAUGCCCAGGUAGAUUCAUAGCAUUUGGGAUGUCCUAGUU